rnacentral:rRNA from 1 species
GAUGAACGCUAGCGAUAGGCUUAACACAUGCAAGUCGAGGGGCAGCACAAGGUAGCUUGCUAUUUGGGUGGCGACCGGCGCACGGGUGCGUAACGCGUAUGCAACUUGCCCUAUACAGGAGGAUAACCCGUCGAAAGACGGACUAAUACUGCGUAUGCUCACAACUUGGCAUCAAGUGGUGAGGAAAGAAAUUCGGUAUAGGAUAGGCAUGCGUCCCAUUAGCUUGUUGGUGAGGUAACGGCUCACCAAGGCAACGAUGGGUAGGGGAACUGAGAGGUUUAUCCCCCACACUGGUACUGAGACACGGACCAGACUCCUACGGGAGGCAGCAGUGAGGAAUAUUGGUCAAUGGGCGCGAGCCUGAACCAGCCAAGUCGCGUGAAGGAUGACUGUCUUAUGGAUUGUAAACUUCUUUUAUACGGGAAUAACAAGAGUCACGUGUGACUCCCUGCAUGUACCGUAUGAAUAAGCAUCGGCUAACUCCGUG